GCUAGAGUAGCUCAGCUGGUUAGAGCAUCUGGCUAUUAACCAGGAGGUCGAAGCUUGAAGUCCUUCCUCUAGCG